rnacentral:lncRNA from 1 species
AGAAGUGCUCGCCAUGUAAUCCAAGUCCUACACCACCAUCACUUCCACCAGUAGUAUAUUCCUCACCACCACCACCAUCACAGCCACCACCAUCACCACCUCCACCAGAAUUAUACCCCCCACCACCACCUGCACCAGUGCUGCCACCACCGACUCCAAAGAAGCCGCCAUCAGGUUAUAACUGCCCUCCACCGCCAGCUCCAACAAAAUAUGAUCUUUACAUAACUGG